rnacentral:rRNA from 1 species
UACGAGGGGUGCAAGCGUUGCUCGGAAUUAUUGGGCGUAAAGGGUAGGUAGGUGGUCUCGUUUGUCAGGGGUGAAAUCCUUGGGCUUAACCCAAGAAGUGCCCCUGAAACGGCGAGACUCGAGUCCUGGAGAGGGUCGUGGAAUUCCCGGUGUAGCGGUGAAAUGCGUAGAGAUCGGGAGGAACACCAGAGGCGAAGGCGGCGACCUGGACAGGUACUGACACUCAACUACGAAAGCGUGGGGAGCAAACAGG